rnacentral:rRNA from 1 species
GACGGGGCCCGCACAAGCGGCGGAGCAUGCGGAUUAAUUCGAUGCAACGCGAAGAACCUUACCAAGGCUUGACAUACACCGGUAACGCCCAGAGAUGGGUGCCCCUUUGUGGUCGGUGUACAGGUGGUGCAUGGUUGUCGUCAGCUCGUGUCGUGAGAUGUUGGGUUAAGUCCCGCAACGAGCGCAACCCCUAUUGUUAGUUGCCAUCAUUCAGUUGGGCACUCUAGCGAGACUGCCGGUAAUAAACCGGAGGAAGGUGGGAUGACGUCAAAUCAUCAUGCCCCUUAUGACCUGGGCUACACACGUGCUACAAUGGUUGGUACAACGAGUUGCGAGUCGGUGACGGCGAGCUAAUCUCUUAAAGCCAAUCUCAGUUCGGAUUGUAGGCUGCAACUCGCCUACAUGAAGUCGGAAUCGCUAGUAAUCGCGGAUCAGCACGCCGCGGUGAAUACGUUCCCGGGCCUU